GACUUUUAUUUUGAAAACAGCGGCCAUGUAUUAACUCUCGGUUGGGCUUACUGUAGCAAAUACUGAUCACUUGUACUUUCAUUUGUUGGAGCAUGGCUUUCCAGUGUCAGAGAGACUGUUAUAUGCAGGAGUUCGACACGUGUGUCGUGUCUUGCGUGCCUGCAGAAUUAACCCUCGAGAAUAAUGGAAAGAAAGACAAGCUGAAGGGCUUUAAUCUGAAGCUGAAAGACACGAUUCUGUUUCCAGAGGGCGGAGGACAGCCUGAUGAUCACGGGACGGUUGGAGGUGUCCCUGUCCUGCGGGUGCUGAGACAAGGUCCGGAGGCGGUGCAUUUCAUCAGCUCUGCUCUGGAGGAGGGUCAGGAGGUGCACAUCAAGCUGGACUGGGAGCGACGCUUUGACCACAUGCAGCAGCAUUCGGGUCAACACUUGAUCACAGCUUUGGCUGAUACAAUGUUUGGAUACAAAACUACCUCUUGGGAUUUGGGACGUCAGCGUAGCAGCAUAGAGCUGGACACAGCCGCGGUGAAGCCUGGAGAGAUGGAGGCUUUGGAGGUGGCUGUGAAUGAAAAGAUUCGUGCACACAUUCCAGUCACCGUCAAUCUCCUGUCCAUUGAUGAUCCUGCUGUGGAGAAGGUGCGAAGCCGAGGUCUUCCUGAUGACCACGCAGGGCCCAUCAGGAUCAUUGACAUCGAGGGCGUAGAUGCCAACAUGUGCUGCGGGACUCAUGUGUCCAACCUCAGUCACCUUCAGGUAAUAAAGAUUUUGGGGACCGAAAAAGGGAAGAAGAAUAAAACCAACCUGAUUUUCAUAGCUGGCAGCAGAGUGCUGAAAUAUGCUGAAAAGAGUUACAGCAUUGAAAAAUCACUGACCGGCCUUCUCAAGACAGGGGCAGAUGAGCAUGUUGAUGCUGUGGACAAGCUACAGAAGACGGUCAAACGUCUUCAGAAGAGUAAUCUUAUUAUCCUGAGGGAGAUGGCUGUUCUGAUAGCGCAGAACUUCAAAAACAAAGCGGACAGAGGAAACUUCUUCAGCUUACACAAUAAAGACGGUGAUAAUGAGUUCAUGAACAUCAUCGCCAAUGAAAUUGGAUUUCUGGACACAGUGAUCUUUCUGACCGUGGGUGAGGAGAAGGGUGCAGGACUGUUCCUGCUCGCCGGGCCUGAGGAUAUUGUCACUGAAGUGGGACCUCGGGUGUCAGAGCUGCUGCAGGGUAAAGGAGCAGGAAAGGCUGGACGUUACCAGGGUAAAGCCAAUAGUCUGGUGAAGAGAGCAGAAGCUGAGGCUUUACUGAAGGAGCACAGCUGCAAACUCACUGCAGGAGAAGAAUAAAAUGACCGCAUACAGUCAUGAUGACCCAGAACACAUGCAUCAAGCAGCGACUCGACAAAACUAGACUGCUUUGUUGCAGUCUACACUGGAAGCGCACAAUAUGUUACAAUCAUGAUGCACCUUCAGUUGAUAGAGGCUCCAUUUCUGUUUUUGGUGCACUACAUAACUACUCCAGCCUAUUUAUUUAUAUAUACAUACACAUACCCAUGCUUUAGAUUUAUUAGUUAUACUGUAUGUUAAACUUCUGACUUGUUGCAUCACAGUCAUCUUGUGAUGUUUUGGAGCUUCAGAUUUAAAUAAUUUUACUAGAGUACCGACAGUUUUUCAGCUGUUCUUAAAAAGCCCAUGCAAAUGUAGUUUUUAAACGAAUGGAUUUCUAAGUGGAAAUUUAAAGAAACCAAUUCUAAAUUAUAUUUGCAGUCUUACAGCGGAUUGGUCUGUAAACAUUUGUAGAUAACAUGCCACUUCAUCACAUCCAAUGCAGAAAAAUUUAAGCCACUGCUGUCAGGGUUCAGGUAGAGGGAUGAGGCAAGGACUCAAUGAUGCAGAGAGAAGGGCUCUUUAAUAAUAAAAAAUAAGAUAAACAAAAACUACCCCGUAGGUGAAACAGACAAAACUAGACUGGCAAGGCAAGGCACGAGAAACACAGACAAAUAUUUGACGACGAACUAACAACCAGACUGCAAACACAAUGAGAAUAAAUAGGGAGCUAAUGAGGAGG